CAUAAAGCGCGAUUAUGUCAAACACGAAUAAACAUUUAUCCGUUUUCCUUCUAUUCAUAUAUCAAGUUCAAUACAAUAUAAUUUAUUAAAAUCAAAGGUUUUUAUAAUCCAUCUUGUAAUAUUAUCAUACUUGUAUGUUAGUAAUAGUUUAUAUAUUAAAAUUAAAAUCAGUGAUUCUCUUUAAGAUAUAACAAUAUUUAUAGUAUUUAAAUUGAUUAACAAUAUAUUUGUGCUCUUAUCAUAAGACAAGCAAAUUUUUUACAACAAAAGAUGUUUACUAUACACUCAAGACAUGGAAAUAGUUCAGGUGUGACAUUUCCAGUAACCAAAAUCAUAAUUCAUUAUAGCCAUAUCAUUCAAGACUAUGCCAAAUAGUACUAUAUAUUACGAAAUUUUGAAAAUAAGCAUGCCGAUGAUGUGUCAGAUAUUUUAAAUAACCAAUUAAUUGAUAUGCCAUAUCUAUGUAUUGAAGCAUGAUAGGAGCAAUAUUUGUACAAAUUAUACAAAAGAUUACUAUACAAAAUAUUGAGCACAAAAUGUACGAUACUUGCAGAGAAAAGUGAGAUUUAAGAAUGUAUACUAUUUCAUCAAUCUUUCGUUUAGCUAAUGAAGUUUUUUAAUUAAGUACCAUCAGGUGUUAUAUGCAGUCAAAAGGAUUAAAAGUAUAUGAACUUAACGAUAUGGAUACAGUUAUAUUUGUGACAGUCUGAAAGAUGAUAUCAAGUUCAUCAUAUUUUCAAUAUAGUACAUAAUUUAUCAUUGCGGUUAAAAAAAUUUUUCCAUAAUAAUUAUUCCACUUCACAUCAGUAGCAACCAACCAAUCUGUUCAAUAGAUCGUCAAUUAUCAUAAAAAUUACAUCUUCUUCGCAAAGGCUAAAAUUGUAUAUAGAAUAAUAAAUGCAAGUUUUGAAGAUGUAAUUUUCGUACCUUUGGAUACAUAUAUUUAAAAAAUGGUCUGGUACAUUAGUUCUGUAAAUAACCGAUUCUUCAAGGGGACCUAAAUUAAAACGUUUUAAAAAGCAACCGGUAACAAAUUAUCUCUUUUCUACAUUAUUGGUAUUUAUUUUAACAUUGUGACAAAAAUAGUUAUUCUUUAAUAUAUAACAAAUUAUUCAUGAUAAUUUUUUGUGUUUGAUAAGCAAUGUGGAAAAAUGACAAAAUUUCUUUAUUAAAAUAAUUGUGAAAUGUAAUGUAAAAUAUAUAUAAAAUAAAAUGAUUAAUAUUUUACAAUUAAACCAACUUAUCUAACUGUCGUGACUUAGCAAGAUUUUUUUCAAUUCAAAAGAUUAAAAUUCUUAUGUCAUAUUAUAUGAUCCCGUAAUAAUAUUUCAUGAUAUAUUUCGGUUAAAAAUUAUUUUUGAAAUUUGAAGUGUUUAAUAAUAACAUAAUAUAUUUAUAAUUAUUUACAAUAUUGGUAAUAUAAUAUAUUCUUAUAGAAAUAAUAAUAUUAAAGAAACUGUGGAAGUUGCUUUUUAUAUGUUGAAUUUAUUUUAUAUGUGUACUUUUAAAAUAAGUUCUUUGAAGAUAAUCUAUUAAUGAUCAUGUAUAUAUCCAUAAAGUGGAGCUUCCAUAUAUGCUCUACUAAUAUCCAAAGAGUUUCUACGAAUACGUCUUCCAAUUGGCUCUAAAUCAUUAUAACACAUGGGAAAAACUUUUUCUAUUGCUAUUUUAGCUUCUUGUUCUGUUACUUUACGUACUCCCAUUAUAGAAGCUGUUGCCAUGUUCUUUACACAAUCCUACGUAAAUUAUUAUUAAAUUAAUCAUAAUAAAAUAUAUGUAUUAUGUGUCUGUGAUGUAAAUAGUUAUUGAUACUAUGUAAUUAUAUAAUUCAUACUUGA